CCUAACCUAACCUCCCCCGAUCCCAUCUGGCCCCUCCCCAGAACUGCAUCGCUCCACAGCCACCUCCCUCACCGCCCCGCGCCGUCGCCGGGCCCCGGCCACCUCCGGCGCCGUCGCCUGGCCCCGGCCACCUACAACGCCGCGGCCACCCCCCACGAGGAACCCCCGCGCCGCCGCUGCCGCCCCCCACCGUCGCCGCCCCCACCAGGAAGCCGAGCCGGUACAGCGGCCACCACCACCACCCGCCGGUGCACCCACUGGCCCCGGUCACGUGCACCAUCGCGCCCUAGCUCCACCGGCCCCGCCGACUCCUGGAUCCACUGGCACCAGCGUCGUCGCCCCAACCUCCGUCUUCCACUAUCGCUCGCGCGUCGUGGCCUCCUUCCCGGACCACCCUGCCGCCGCGCCCCACCGACUCAGAUCGUCGCCAGCCUUCCUCCCCUGCUUCCACCGAGGAGGUGGCCUCCGUCUGCCGUCAACUGCCACCGCGACCUGCCUCAUGGCUCCCCCGCGACCUGCCCAUUGCGCCACCGCUACCUGAUCUGGUGAUUCGAAGAACGUGCAUCUGAUGCAGUUGGAUGGGGCAGCGGAGAGCCUGCUGCUGUUCAAGGCAGACGUGGUGGACAGCGCCACCGCGCUGGCCGCCGCCGUCGAGGAGCGCGAACUAAGUGACUCACUGCUGUCAGAGACGAUUACAAGUUGCUACUGCCUUACUGGCACUAUAAAAAUCUGGUUGAAGUCCAAUAUUUGGAAACUACAGAUUCUUGAUGAUCUGUUACUAAUGGUGUGCUAAAUACAACCGUGCAGUCAGAACUCAUGGUGUCUGCCGUGAAGGGCACCUUAAAUAUUCUUGAGGUUUGUUCAUCUCUGAAGGUUCAGCUUGGGAGUUGUCAUGUUGCCAUGUUGCUUCGCCCGUUGCCAUGUUAAACUUCUCACGUAGGCCGCUUUGACCUUCCUGAGUUAGGUUCAUAUUUGGUUUUUUUGUGCUCGACGGUGAGACACUGUUGAUCUCCUUCAGCUCUCUUGUUCUUCCUGCAAACAAGGCCGGGUUCAGUUUUGGUGGCUUGACGCUGCAUGCUCUGGUUGCUACUUGAACUGCUUGCUGCAUCUGUAACACCUUCUCCUCCUAGAACUCAAUCAAUGGACACAACAUGGCUGUAAUGUUCUUGCUAUUCAAAUUACUCUGAAUUUGUAUGGCCGACACUUCAAAUUUUUGCACUUCCAGGUGGCAUUCAAAAGCUCAGCUCGGUGCCAUGAGGGAUGCUACAGAGCUGCCGUGGUGAUCCUGCUGAGGUGAGGUCGAGGCGCUGGAGUCCUGCGGCGCUGCGGCAUGCCGUGUGCUCUUUUUUGCUGAGGUCGAGUUGCUGGAGUGCGGUGGUUCUCGUCACCCUCUUGGAGUCCGGUGCUGUUGUUGGCUUUAUCUUGUUGCUGUUUUCCUAACUGUGAGAGAGACAUGUAUUUUUCUCUUCCUGUACACUUAAUACUAUGAAUAAUCUGAUCCCGUUGGUAGGUUGGUAUUGUA